AUUGAACGCUGGCGGCAUGCUUUACACAUGCAAGUCGAACGGCAGCGCGGGGCAACCUGGCGGCGAGUGGCGAACGGGUGAGUAAUAUAUCGGAACGUACCCAGAAGUGGGGGAUAAAGUAGCGAAAGUUACGCUAAUACCGCAUACGAUCUACGGAUGAAAGUGGGGGACCUUCGGGCCCCAUGCUUGUGGAGCGGCCGAUAUCUGAUUAGCUAGUUGGUAGGGUAAAGGCCUACCAAGGCGACGAUCAGUAGCUGGUCGGAGAGGACGACCAGCCACACUGGGACUGAGACACGGCCCAGACUCCUACGGGAGGCAGCAGUGGGGAAUUUUGGACAAUGGGCGCAAGCCUGAUCCAGCAAUGCCGCGUGAGUGAAGAAGGCCUUCGGGUUGUAAAGCUCUUUUGUCAGGGAAGAAACGGCGAUUUCUAAUAAAGAUUGCUAAUGACGGUACCUGAAGAAUAAGCACCGGCUAACUACGUGCCAGCCGCCGCUGUAA
rnacentral:rRNA from 1 species